rnacentral:rRNA from 1 species
GACGAACGCUGGCGGCGUGCUUAACACAUGCAAGUCGAACGAUGAACCCGGAGCUUACUCCGGCGGAUUAGUGGCGAACGGGUGAGUAACACGUGAGUAACCUGCCCUUGACUCUGGGAUAACUGCGGGAAACUGUAGCUAAUACCGGAUACGACCCUCGGGGCAUCCCGGGGUGUGGAAAGAAUUCUGGUGCAGGGAUGAGCUCGCGGCCUAUCAGCUUGUUGGUGAGGUAAAGGCUCACCAAGGCGACGACGGGUAGCCGGCCGGAGAGGGUGACCGGCCACACUGGAACUGAGACACGGUCCAGACUCCUACGAGAGGCGGCAGUGGGGAAUAUUGCACAAUGGGCGAAAGCCUGAUGCAGCAACGCCGCGUGAGGGAUGACGGCCCUCGGGUUGUAAACCUCUUAGCAGGGAAGAAGCGAAAGUGACGGUACCUGCAGAAAAAGCACCGGCUAACUACGUGCCAGCAGCCGCCGUAA